AUGAUCGCCGAGCCCUGGCUGGUAAUUCUCAAGCAUCUCCUCGUACCUGUCCACCAAGAUCCCCCAAUAGCCAUGGAGGUAGUAGCCAUUCUCGAGAUACACCUUGUUACCCCACUUCUCACGCUGGGUAGCGAGGAUAUACACCAUGGCCGACUGAUCGUCGGCUUCAAAGACCGGCCGGUCCUUGAGGUACUUGGUGAGCACCUUACCAGCCUCAAUACGAACAGGGCCCUUGGGCCCCAUGGGCGCCCAGGUGUCGAGGUAAUCGAGCGACCAUUGGCAGUUGCGCAGCAAGAAGCUGCCGGUGUUGAGGCCAAUCCAGUUCUUGUCGUCGUAGACCAUCUCGUCCCAGCCGUGCAGGAUGAAGUUGUAGGGGCCGUAGCGCUCCCACGGCAGCUCGAAGGCCAUGUCCGUGAACAUGGCGUCGGAGUCCAUCCACCAGAAGAACUCGACCUCCGGGUGCGCGAGGAGGAGCGCGCGGAGGAGCGGGAGCUUGGCCCAGAAGCCGGCGAGCUCGGCGUCGAGCAGCGCCAUGUUGUAGAAGAUCUCGAGGCCGUGGAUGCGGCAGUAGUCGAUCUUGUUCUUGAUGGACUUGAGGAGGUAGUGGUCGCCGACGGGGUUCUCGCAGGGCUUGGGGGAGGACCCCGUGACGAGCAUGACCCGCGGCUUGACGUCGUUGAGGAAGGGCGGGGUCUCCGGAUGGCGGCGGUUCCAGGCGGCCCGCUGCUCGUCCCAGUCGGAGAUCUUGGGGCCGAGCGUGUAGGGCGGGUCCCGGAGCGACCUGGGCUGCGGCUCCGGCUCGUCGUCGCGGGCGGCGGCCUUCCCCGCGGCCUGGGUGGCUUGGGCCUGGGCGUCGGAGGCCUUGGAGCGGGCGUCGUGGUGCUCGGAGAGCGCGCGCUGCGGGUGGGAGAUGAAGCGGUGGCGCAGCUCGGUGAGGUCCUGCUGCGGCGUGCCGAACUUGCCCGCCCCGACGGUGCCGCGGAGCACGAGGAUGGUGAGCAUGAGGCAGACGACGGUGAGCUUGGCGUUCCGGGUGAAGCGCUGGAUCUCCCGCAUCCGGCGCUCCCCCAGCACCCGCUCCGCCACCCACAUUUUCUUGUCGGAUCGAACACCAAGCCGAAUCGAACAAGAAGACGCAAAAUGCAGGCGCCUCGGAGUCUAGAUCGACGCCGCGGCCGAGCAAUGCGGCGGCGGUGCGGGACGGGGACGGGGACGAGGCCGGGGAGGAAGAGGAGGUUUAGAAGUGCGGAAGGGAAGGGGAAUUAA
rnacentral:rRNA from 1 species